GCCUCUGUAGCUCAGUUGGUUAGAGCACUGCACAGGAAUCGCAGGGCCAAUUAGGUUCAAUUCCUACCAGAGGAC